UGCGUAGGUGGCAAGCGUUGUCCGGAAUUAUUGGGCGUAAAGCGCGCGCAGGCGGUCCUUUAAGUCUGAUGUGAAAGCCCACGGCUCAACCGUGGAGGGUCAUUGGAAACUGGGGGACUUGAGUACAGAAGAGAAGAGUGGAAUUCCACGUGUAGCGGUGAAAUGCGUAGAGAUGUGGAGGAACACCAGUGGCGAAGGCGACUCUUUGGUCUGUAACUGACGCUGAGGCGCGAAAGCGUGGGGAGCAAACAGG
rnacentral:rRNA from 1 species